GCGACGGUCGUCAUGGGAAAUGUAGUUUUUUUUCCCCCUCUACAAGGCCCGUGCCAGGGUUUUCCUCAAUGCCUUUACCACUGACUUCGGGCUUCAAGGAAAAUACUUGGAUUAUAACAAAUACAGCUGAGCAGAGUAGGGGGUGGUUGGACAUACACUAGAUUCUGAUAUCCUGAGCAGAUCUCCGUGGUGCAGCAUAAUGUUCAUUGGGCAUUGUCAUCGAAUCCACACUACUGCUACGAACACAGCCACCACUCCUAUGUGACACCUUAGUUGGUGCAUAUGAGCAGACCAUGACAGCUCACAACAGGCCUUCACUAACAUCAGCAAGUGACCCCGAUACAUUCUGCUUCGGCUUUGCAUCUUCCAUUUGUGGCAGGAGACCAAAAAGGCCUACCCUGCCCUAUGUGGAGAUGCCAGAGACUAGCCCUGCAAUUUUCUGCAUGCAAAGCAAGUUGCCUACCUCUGAGUGAUGGUCCUUCCUUUUUUCAUCGGCCCAGGCUUUCCAGUAUCAUGUUAUCAACGCUGGUUUUAAUGAUACGUUUUAUUAGCUCUGCUGGUUUUACUGUGAUGGUUUUACAAAGGUGUUGUCUUUUUAUACUUUUUGUUUUGGUUAUAUUAUUUUUAAGACAACUGUAAACCUAUCCUGGAAGUUGUAAAACUGAGGGGCAGGGCAUAUAUAUUUUCAAGAAAUACAUACGACUUUGCCAGGUGUG